rnacentral:lncRNA from 7 species
ACAACCUCUCUGUAAGAAUCAAUACCUACCCCAUGGAGAAGCUCUCUUCUCGUCGCUAUUCCCGGCCGGCGAUGUCCCUGCUGAUCAUCGUGGCCAUCACUAUCUCCUGCUCCGUCGUCCACAGUUCGGAGGCUCCAGCCCAAGAAGCAGCAGUACCUCGUCUGGACGGAGACCAUCAGGGCCAAGCGCCGCCGCCACCGGAUGCCGGCAAACCUCGACAGCCACAGCCGCCGUGCUGUCUUCGGCACGGCGCUUAACGUCCUAAAAUGGACAGGGAGGACGGAGGAUACUUAAGAUCAACCAGGCCGCGACGACAAUAAGUUUUUAAAUUUUAUUAGGACUAGUUUAGGAACCCUAUUUUUUUAAUGGAUUUUUAUUUUAUCAAAAAAAAUUGGGUUCCCAAACUAGUUCUUAACAAUACAAACAUAAGAGAAUCCGUACACCAUUCGUGUCAAAUUAUAAGUAAUAUAGGUCGGGGUGCAUAACUGAGAUAAUUUGGUUCAUUUAUCAUUUGUGGUCCUACGAGUUCAACCGUGUGUUUGGUUUUUCAAGGUAACACCACUGCCACUCAUAUAUAAUCGUUGUAGUGUCAUAUGUUGUUUUAACUAUAACUAGUCGGUUGCCCGUGCGUUGCGACGGUUUACAACAAUACUCACGUAAACUAUCCAUCAAAAAAAAUUCAAGAUUUUUU